rnacentral:lncRNA from 1 species
AAAAAUAUAAAUUUUUUUUUUAUAUAAAUAAAUACUCCUACAAAUCUCUAAAUUCAUUACAACAAAUAAUCCUUCAUUCUUUUUCUUCUACAAACACUAAUCAUUCUAUAAAUACUAUCUUUCCACUCUCAAACUUUCAAUUUAAAAUUUUCUUUCUCUUAAGUUUACUUUGCAAUUUUUUUUUUUUAUUUUUUCAAGAACUCCUUUUACAAAAUCUCACCAAAAUCUCACCAUAUAAAAUCUUAUUCUCAAGACUAUAUUUAAUCUCUGA